UACGUAGGUGGCAAGCGUUGUCCGGAAUUACUGGGCGUAAAGCGCACGUAGGCGGAUACUUAAGUCAGGGGUGAAAUCCCGGGGCUCAACCCCGGAACUGCCUUUGAUACUGGGUAUCUCGAGUCCGGAAGGGGUGAGUGGAAUUCCGAGUGUAGAGGUGAAAUUCGUAGAUAUUCGGAGGAACACCAGUGGCGAAGGCGGCUCACUGGUCCGGUACUGACGCUGAGGUGCGAAAGCGUGGGGAGCAAACAGG
rnacentral:rRNA from 1 species